GUUUUAAUAAAACGUACUAUUUGUGCAAUACGUCCGUGAUCAACAAUAGCAAAGGCAAGAAAGGAAGAAAGAAAUUAAAAACUUGUAUGUUUUAAAAUGCAACCCUCUUGUUUUUAUCUCAAUCAGUAAAUUUAUUAAACGUAAAUUAACGAGCAUAUAACAACAAUAAGAAAUACAUCAGGAAUAAUUCAAAUUCACCAACAACAGCUCCCAAACAAGAACAUAUAUCCAACGUAAAUAUUUCAUUUAAGGGAUGACACCUUUUUGUUUAUUUCAGAAAUACAAAUGAGUUGAUCAAUCUUUUGAAAGAAGCUGUUGAUUUUUCCCCUAUUUGUUUUUCUUUUGGCAUUCAGCCAAAAUAUAAUAUACA
rnacentral:lncRNA from 1 species